UACGUAGGGUGCGAGCGUUAAUCGGAAUUACUGGGCGUAAAGUGUGCGCAGGCGGCCGCGCAAGUCGAGUGUGAAAGCCCCGGGCUUAACUUGGGAAUUGCGCUCGAAACUACGUGGCUAGAGUGUGGCAGAGGGAGGUGGAAUUCCACGUGUAGCGGUGAAAUGCGUAGAGAUGUGGAGGAACACCGAUGGCGAAGGCGGCAUCCUGGACCAUGACUGACGCUGAGGAGCGAAAGCCAGGGGAGCAAACGGG
rnacentral:rRNA from 1 species